AGAGUUUGAUCCUGGCUCAGAUUGAACGCUGGCGGCAUACCUUACACAUGCAAGUCGAACGGCAGCGGACCUUCGGGUGCCGGCGAGUGGCGAACGGGUGAGUAAUGUAUCGGAACGUACCUUUCAGUGGGGGAUAACGUAGCGAAAGUUACGCUAAUACCGCAUAUUCUGUGCGCAGGAAAGCAGGGGAUCGCAAGACCUUGCGCUGAUUGAGCGGCCGAUAUCAGAUUAGCUAGUUGGUGAGGUAAAGGCUCACCAAGGCGACGAUCCGUAGCGGGUCUGAGAGGAUGAUCCGCCACACUGGAACUGAGACACGGUCCAGACUCCUACGGGAGGCAGCAGUGGGGAAUUUUGGACAAUGGGGGCAACCCUGAUCCAGCCAUGCCGCGUGAGUGAAGAAGGCCUUCGGGUUGUAAAGCUCUUUCGGCCGGGAAGAAAUCGCAUGGGUUAAUACCCUGUGCGGAUGACGGUACCGGCAUAA
rnacentral:rRNA from 1 species